UACGUAGGAUGCAAGCGUUAUCCGGAUUUAUUGGGUUUAAAGGGUGCGCAGGUUGUUUGAUAAGUCAGUGGUGAAAGUCUGUCGCUUAACGGUAGGAUUGCCAUUGAUACUGUUGGACUUGAAUAUGGAUGAGGUAGGCGGAAUGUGUAGUGUAGCGGUGAAAUGCAUAGAUAUUACACAGAACACCGAUUGCGAAGGCAGCUUACUAAUCCAUCAUUGACGCUGAGGCACGAAAGCGUGGGGAUCAAACAGGA
rnacentral:rRNA from 1 species